UGUGAAAAAAAAGUUUGGUUC
rnacentral:piRNA from 1 species